rnacentral:rRNA from 1 species
GAUGAAUAUUGGUCAAUGGACGAGAGUCUGAACCAGCCAAGUCGCGUGAAGGAAGACGGAUCUAUGGUUUGUAAACUUCUUUAGUGUGGGAACAAAGCGUGGUUGCGACCGCAGAUGAGUGUACCACAAGAAUAAGCAUCGGCUAACUCCGUGCCAGCAGCCGCGGUAAUACGGAGGAUGCGAGCGUUAUCCGGAUUUAUUGGGUUUAAAGGGUGCGUAGGCGGACUUUCAAGUCAGCGGUAAAAAUUUCCGGGCUUAACCUGGUUGUGCCGUUGAAACUGAGAGACUGGAGUGCGCUUGAGGUAGGCGGAAUGCGUUGUGUAGCGGUGAAAUGCAUAGAUAUCACGAAGAACUCCGAUUGCGAAGGCAGCUUACCGUAGCGUUACUGACGCUGAAGCUCGAAAGUGCGGGUAUCGAACAGGAUUAGAUACCCUGGUAGU